AGUGAACGCUGGCGGUAGGCCUAACACAUGCAAGUCGAACGGCAGCACAGUAAGAGCUUGCUCUUACGGGUGGCGAGUGGCGGACGGGUGAGGAAUACAUCGGAAUCUACUUUUUCGUGGGGGAUAACGUAGGGAAACUUACGCUAAUACCGCAUACGACCUACGGGUGAAAGCAGGGGAUCUUCUGACCUUGCGCGAUUGAAUGAGCCGAUGUCGGAUUAGCUAGUUGGCGGGGUAAAGGCCCACCAAGGCGACGAUCGGUAGCUGGUCUGAGAGGAUGAUCGGCCACACGGGAACUGAGACACGGUCCAGACUCCUACGGGAGGCAGCAGUGGGGAAUAUUGGACAAUGGGCGCAAGCCUGAUCCAGCCAUACCGCGUGGGUGAAGAAGGCCUUCGGGUUGUAAAGCCCUUUUGUUGGGAAAGAAAAGCAGCAGGUUAAUACCCCGCUGUUCUGACGGUACCCAAAGAAUAAGCACCGGCUAACUUCGUG
rnacentral:rRNA from 1 species